UCUACUUCCUCAAUGUUGUUGUUGAGGUCGUGGAGAAGCGAAAGACUGUUAUUGGCGAGCAUGGUGUCGUCCACUUAGAGUAAGAAAAUGACGAAGAAGGAGCCACAACUUAGGCGGUAGACAUUGCAAUUGGCCGUGGAGUUUUCGAAUCCCAUUGUAAUAAAGUUUUGUUGGACGGCAAGGAUAAGGAUGAGAUGGAUUAAUUGGAUCCGAACAACCGGGGAAAAAGUUUCGUUGUAGUCCAGCCCCAAAAUUUGAUUGAACUCUCAGGCGACAAGGCGGGCAAUGUGGCCGUCGCUCUUGAAUUUGAGUUUGAAGGUGAUUGGCCGCCAAUUGGGAGGGAGGUCGGUAAAGACCCAAGUGCCAUUGGCCGCAUGAGAAUUGAGCUCAUUGGCAAUGGCAGCCUUCCAAUAGGCGGAUUUGGGAUAAGUUAGAGCAUGUUUGUAUGAGAUGGACUCUAGCGGAAUAUGAUUCAAUGUAUACAGUGCCCAUUUUUUCGUAGGAAGAACAGGGGGCCAUCGAGGUAUCAAAACGGCAAGGUCAUAAUUUUCAUUGGGAUUGCGAGGAGGGAGAACUCCCUUCGUUGAUUAGGAGGUAUGGCGGGAGAGAGCAGAUACCGGGCUGAGGGACGGUAUUGCAGCGGAAGAGGUACCAGGGUCAGGAUUUAGGGACAGUGGCUCAAGGUAGGAGCUUCUGGAUUGUUACGAAUGAUGCCGCAUGUGAGACAUGACUUCGAUGCCAGAUCGUUCAACUUCAUAGGCGCAGAGAGGACGAGUUGGAGCUGAAUGUGGAGGAAGGCGAGGAGUACUGACCGUCGGCAUAGGAGCAGGGGCUGCAACGGCCAACGAUGAAGGAAAGGCAUGGUGGAGGAGUUGCAUGGGCAACACAACUUCGAGCCGAGGCGGUUGUAGUGACAGUGAUUUGGUGGGAGAAGAGUUAUCCUAGGCAAGCUGAAGCCAUGUAUGCUCAAUAGUAAUGGCAAGUGUGGGAGGGACGGCUGGUGCUGGGUGGUCAGCAGGGGCUGGAGAAGGACUCGGCAGAGCAGAUGUGGGUGGUUCAGUCUGGAGCGCUGAGAAUUUGGGAACUAGUGAUAGGGCAGGGACUUCGAGAACCAAUAGUAGGGUAAGGACUUCGAGAGCUAGUGGCAAUGCAGGUACAACAAGUUUGCUGGGUGAAGUAGGAUCGGCUGUGUAGAGCAUGCCAUUGUUAAAACGAGGAGGGACGCCAUAGGGCAAAAGUCGAUGGAAAAAAUUUCAGGAUCAGGCAAAAGAAUAUCAUGCUUUUGAACAGAUAGGCUAUCCUCCAGAAAUAUUAUACUUCGGGAAGUAAGUAUAGCCUUUGUGUGUACAUCUUGAGCCUUAUAGCCUUUGCUAGUGUGACUGUAUCCCAAGAAGAUACAUUCAAUUGUGGUCAUGUCGAGUUUGAUUUUUAAUGCAUUAGAAAUUUUUGCAUAACA